rnacentral:rRNA from 1 species
UACGUAGGGUGCGAGCGUUAAUCGGAAUUACUGGGCGUAAAGCGUGCGCAGGCGGCGCGUUAAGACAGGUGUGAAAGCCCCGAGCUUAACUUGGGAAUUGCGCUUGUGACUGGCGUGCUGGAGUGUGGCAGAGGGAGGUGGAAUUCCACGUGUAGCAGUGAAAUGCGUAGAGAUGUGGAGGAACACCAGUGGCGAAGGCGGCUCACUGGGCCGGACCUGACGCUGAGGCGCGAAAGCGUGGGGAGCGAUCCGG